rnacentral:sRNA from 1 species
AAAAGACUAAUCUAUGUCAAUAUCUAACUGAUGGAGGUUCACUACCUCAAAAACUUGUACGGGUGACUUUUGAUCAAUUUUUCUCAUACUACACCUCAACUUUUUGAGUUGACGCUAAAUGACAACGAUACUUGUGAGUGGCAUGAAAAUAUCGACUUUGUUGAACUAAGAGGUUGGCAUAGAGAUUUUCUUGCAUGUAUUCAUUGUCACAAAAAGUAAGUUACUUUAUUCUUAUGUUAAAAUUUUAUUUAGAUGUUUGGAGUUCUACUAUUAUAUUUGCUUAACUCAUUAUGUCACACACCAAAAUUAACAAUAUGAUGGUCGACCAAUGAUAUUUAGGGGGUUCAUCACACAAUUAAAGUUUGGAAUCUUUUAAGACUAUCAUAUGAAGAUUAUGCUCAGGUACCAUGGGUUUUGUUUUCUAGAACAACUGGGACAGCAUGAGUUGAGUUGUAGUUUCAUUCUCAUAUGAAGUCUACUCGUAUUUAGAGAAACACGAGAAGAAGAUGAGGUUGGCGAGAAGGCAAUUGUUUUAUUUUGUCCAGUUUAAAGCGUAUAAAUAUAUUGCAUUAGAAAAUGCUCAUGCUAAGCAUUUUAUUGAUGGAGACUUUCUCUAGUCUUAUAUGUAUUUAUCUACGGUAGAGAAACAUCAAUGUUAUAACAGCACUGAAGUCAAUACUUAAAUAUCUCCCCAUGUUUCAUUAGUGGGUGAGUUCAUUGUAUUUUGAAGCGUCUGCAUAUAUGAAUAUAUAUUAAUACUAGAUCAUGACUCUACGCUACAACAUGUAUUAAA